rnacentral:tRNA from 1 species
AGCCUCGUGGUGGAGAGACCACAUUAGAUUGCAAAUCUAAAGACGCAGAUUGACGUCUGCCGGGGCUU